ensembl:lncRNA
AGAAAGUUCAGCCCCCAGUUGCAGAGGGUGGGUGUCAGCCUGAGGGCGAAGAGCUUUUCUGAGAGUUUAUAUGGGAUGACUGUGUUAAAUGCUGAGCUGUAGUCAAUGAAGAGCAUUCUGACAUGUGUGUCCAUUCACUCCAGGUGUGUGAGGGCUGUGUGGAGGGCAGUGUUCAUUGCGUCGUCUGUGGACUGGUUCCGACUUCAUCGCAAUCGGAUUCCCCUGGCCUGUCAAGUCUGGCAUGAUGUUAACACAUUUACAGUCAUUAAAAUAUCACAAAUGUAUAAACAAAAUGAAAUUAAAUAAUUAAAAAAGAAAGAAAGAAAGAAACAAUGAUAAGAUGAGCCUAUAAUCUAUAGUGCUCAUUUUGGAAAAGUAAAUUUGUUUGGCACAGUAAUGCAGUCUGACCAUAAUUCUGAUUGCAAAUCUGCCAGACAAGACAGGCAAAAAUGAAUAAAUAAAUAAAUAAAUAAUCAGGAGAAGAAAGAAUUUUGUUUCUAUGACAUACAAACUGUCGGCCCUAAAUAUAUGGACCUUUACUUUAGCACCACCAUUAGGCCUAUUGGGCUGAGCUCAAGCACCUGAGUAGUAGGAGGAACUACUACUAAUAAACCAAGUUUCAUGUCUGUACGACUUACGGUUUGGUCUGCACGAUUCGAUAUAAGGCAGAAAAAGAAGAAGAAGAAGAAAAAUCCUAACAAUUACAACAGGACUCUUCAUAACAGUGGCAGCUCAGACAGGUGAUUGUUUUACAGUAACAGACAAGACAACAUCAGAUCAAGUUCAGAAGAAAUACCAGAGACAUAGAACUUUAAUUGAAUGCUAAGUUAAAGAGAUACAUUUUCAAACGUUUCUUAAGUGUCUGAAAAAGUGUUCCUGUGUAAGUUACAUCACUAGGUCACACAGUUAUAUUGCACAAAACAGGACUGCAAUUUAUUUAUUAGCUAGUUAUUAAAUGUCAACCUGUGCUUUGAGAUGGUCCAUAGCCGUCAUCUGCAGAUUCAGGCAUCGCGAUUUGGCCUCUUUUAAAAUUGCACAUCAUGCCCACAAGAACUGGAAAAUUUGGCCAUUUCCUCCAGUCUGAAGCCACAGAAAGGGCAAUACAGCCGGUGGUGCUGUGAUUGGAUUUGAGGCACUGCAGAAGUUGCAUUUGUUUUCUGUGUUUACAUCACAUCUCUGAAUUUGCAGCACUUUUGUUAAAUUUAGUGUGUG